rnacentral:misc_RNA from 1 species
GAUGAAGAACGCAGCGAAAUGCGAUAAGUAAUAUGAAUUGCAGAUAUUCGUGAAUCAUCGAAUCUUUGAACGCACAUUGCGCCCUUUGGUAUUCCAAAGGGCAUGCCUGUUUGAGCGUCAUUUCUCCCUCAAACCCUCGGGUUUGGUGUUGAGCGAUACGCUGGGUUUGCUUGAAAGAAAGGCGGAGUAUAAACUAAUGGAUAGGUUUUUUCCACUCAUUGGUACAAACUCCAAAACUUCUUCCAAAUUCGACCUCAAAUCAGGUAGGACUACCCGCUGAACUUAAGCAUAUCAAUAAGCGGAGGA